rnacentral:tRNA from 1 species
GUAUUAGUAGCUCAGACUCAGAGCAUUGGUCUUGUAAACCAAAGGCCGAAGACUAGACCCUUCCUAAUACU